UACGUAGGGUGCAAGCGUUGUCCGGAAUUAUUGGGCGUAAAGAGCUCGUAGGCGGUCAGUCGCGUCUGCUGUGAAAACUCGGGGCUUAACCCCGGGCCUGCAGUGGGUACGGGCUGACUAGAGUGCGGUAGGGGAGACUGGAAUUCCUGGUGUAGCGGUGAAAUGCGCAGAUAUCAGGAGGAACACCAAUGGCGAAGGCAGCUCGCUGGAACGGUACUGACGCUGAGGCGCGAAAGCGUGGGGAGCGAACAGG
rnacentral:rRNA from 1 species